CCUGUUGUUACUCCACUUGGAACUGAGACGCUGCCUCUUUACCGUGGAGCCCUCAAAGGAUAAAGAGCCUUCCCCUGAGCAACGCAGGCGCCUCCUUAGAAAUUUCUAUACGUUGGUGGCCACCACCCACUUCCCACCAGAACCGGGGCCAGCAGAGAAACAAGAAGAUACAGUCCACCCAGCCCAGACACCCAGGGCCUGCUAUCUUGUGCUAGGGCCAGGCAUGGGGUGGCAGCUGGUGGCUGUGCAGCUAGGGCUACGGCUGCUGCUGUUGAUGCUGUCCCCGCAGACUCCCACCCAUGGGCUGAGAAGCCCCCUCUGUGCUUCGGGGGACAAGGAAGGGAGGGUGCUUCCCUUGACCCCCCAGAAUGUAAACAGCAGCAGAUGAACAAAAAUAAAAUACAAAGGCCAGAGGA
rnacentral:lncRNA from 1 species